UUUGACCUCAAAUCAGGUAGGACUACCCGCUGAACUUAAGCAUAUCAAUAAGCCGGAGGAAG
rnacentral:rRNA from 1 species